rnacentral:lncRNA from 1 species
UGGGGACAGUUGCCAGCUUCAACAGUAACUUACCUGGAGAAAAGUACCAUGGUAAAUAUUUUUCUUUAUUUGCACCAAACCUAGGCAUUUACUUUGGGAUGCUGGCUUCAUGUAGUGAAUCACCCUCUUCUCUUCCAUCCUUCCUUCCUCCAAACACGACAGGGUGCCACCACGUGCCCACAGGGGACAUCAGUGAUUUGUUUGCAGCUCCAUAUGCACAGUCACCAGGCGUCAGUCUUACCUACAACCUCAAGGAUUCUCAGAUAGAUUGCAGUUGUAUAUUCCCAAGCCGGGUAACCUCUACAAAAUAUCGUUUGGGAACAUGAAAGUUCUGCUUCCUGGAAAUUCAGAUGUAUGAGAAGUGGAGCAGCUAUAAUAAGGAAUAAAAGGUAGUGCUGAGUUAUCUAAUACUGGAAACUGGGUUAGAGUUAUCUCAA